UGCCAGACUCCUACGGGAGGCAGCAGUGGGGGAUAUUGCACAAUGGGGGAAACCCUGAUGCAGCGACGCCGCGUGGGUGAAGAAGCGCCUCGGCGCGUAAAGCCCUGUCAGCAGGGAAGAAAAUGACGGUACCUGAAGAAGAAGCCCCGGCUAACUACGUGCCAGCAGCUGCGGUAAUACGUAGGGGGCAAGCGUUAUCCGGAUUUACUGGGUGUAAAGGGGGCGCAGACGGCGAUGCAAGCCAGGAGUGAAAGCCCGGGGCCCAACCCCGGGACUGCUCUUGGAACUGCGUGGCUAGAGUGCAGGAGGGGCAGGCGGAAUUCCUGGUGUAGCGGUGAAAUGCGUAGAUAUCAGGAGGAACACCAGUGGCGAAGGCGGAUUACUGGACGAUAACUGACGGUGAGGCGCGAAAGCGUGGGGAGCAAACAGGAUUAGAUACCCCAGUAAA
rnacentral:rRNA from 1 species